CGUGGAGACAGGUGGUGCAUGGCUGUCGUCAGCUCGUGUCGUGAGAUGUUGGGUUAAGUCCCGCAACGAGCGCAACCCUCACCUCUUGUUGCCAUCAGGUCAUGCUGGGCACUCUAGAGGAACUGCCCCGGUCAACGGGGAGGGAGGCGGGGAUGACGUCAAGUCAUCAUGCCCCUUACGUCCUGGGCUACACACGUGCUACAAUGGCCGGUACAAAGGGAUGCCACACCGCGAGGUAGAGCUAAACCCAAAAAGCCGGUCUAAGUUCAGAUUGGAGUCUGCAACUCGACUCCAUGAAGGAGGAAUCGCUAGUAAUCGCGUAUCAGCACGACGCGGUGAAUACGUUCCCGGGCCUUGUACACACCGCCCGUCACACCACGAAAGCCUGCUGUACUCGAAGUCGCUGAG
rnacentral:rRNA from 1 species